rnacentral:lncRNA from 1 species
ACACCUAUAACGAGCUGGUCAACUUGGCCAUCUCACAAGAGGAUUGCAUGUAGGCUCUCAAAGCUGACUAGAAGAGAAAGGCCUCCGUGGCGUUUUCGAGCCAGCCAACUCGAAGGUUCAGGAUGGUUCCUCCACAGGCGCCCAGCCGACCUCAGCAGUCGGGAAGAUGGGUUGCCCGACCCCCGCUAGCGGCAGCACCUCGUUUUCCUGGCUCCCAACCACAGGCGCCCCGGCCGACCCUACAGUCACCACCGCGUCCUGCAACUGGUAACCGUUGCUUCACCUGCGGCAAUGAAGGGCAUUUCGCCAAGGACC